rnacentral:tRNA from 1 species
GGCGUGAUAGCUCAGUUGGUAGAGCAACGGAUUGAAAAUC